AUUGAACGCUGGCGGCAUGCUUUACACAUGCAAGUCGAACGGUAACAGGCCGCAAGGUGCUGACGAGUGGCGAACGGGUGAGUAAUGCAUCGGAACGUGCCCAGUCGUGGGGGAUAACGCAGCGAAAGCUGCGCUAAUACCGCAUACGAUCUAUGGAUGAAAGCGGGGGACCGUAAGGCCUCGCGCGAUUGGAGCGGCCGAUGUCAGAUUAGGUAGUUGGUGGGGUAAAGGCUCACCAAGCCAACGAUCUGUAGCUGGUCUGAGAGGACGACCAGCCCCACUGGGACUGUGACACGGCCCAGACUCCUACUGGAGGCAGCAGUGGGGAAUUUUGGACAAUGGGCGCAAGCCUGAUCCAGCAAUGCCGCGUGCAGGAAGAAGUCCUUCGGGUUGUAAACUGCUUUUGUACGGAGCGAAAAGGCUCUCUCUGAUACAGGGGGCUCAUGACGGUACCGUAAGAAUAAGCACCGGCUAACUACGUGCCAGCCGCCGCCGUAACAC
rnacentral:rRNA from 1 species